GCUGGGCGCAGUGGCUCACGCCUGUAAUCCCAGCUACUUGGGAGGCUGAGAUAAGAGACUCACUUGAACCCAGGAGGCACAGGUUGCAGUGAGCUGAGAUCACGCCACUGCACUCCAGCCUGGGUGACAGAGUGAGACUCUGUCUCAA
rnacentral:SRP_RNA from 1 species